GACGAACGCUGGCGGCGUGCUUAACACAUGCAAGUCGAACGGAAAGGCCCCUUCGGGGGUACUCGAGUGGCGAACGGGUGAGUAACACGUGGGUGAUCUGCCCUGCACUUUGGGAUAAGCCUGGGAAACUGGGUCUAAUACCGAAUAGGACCGCAUGCUUCAUGGUGUGUGGUGGAAAGCUUUUGCGGUGUGGGAUGGGCCCGCGGCCUAUCAGCUUGUUGGUGGGGUAAUGGCCUACCAAGGCGACGACGGGUAGCCGGCCUGAGAGGGUGUCCGGCCACACUGGGACUGAGAUACGGCCCAGACUCCUACGGGAGGCAGCAGUGGGGAAUAUUGCACAAUGGGCGCAAGCCUGAUGCAGCGACGCCGCGUGGGGGAUGACGGCCUUCGGGUUGUAAACCUCUUUCAGUAUCGGCGAAGCUCCAAGGUUUUCUUUGGGGUGACGGUAGGUACAGAAGAAGCACCGGCCAACUACGUGC
rnacentral:rRNA from 1 species